rnacentral:Y_RNA from 1 species
GGUUGGUCCAACUGCAGUGGUGUUUACAACUAAUUGAUCACAACCAGUUACAAAUUCCUUUGUUCCUUCUCCACUCCCACUGCUCCAUUUGCCCAGCCUAAA